UAGGCAGCUAGAGCUGUCCGUUUUGAUAGAAACCUGUGCGCAGGCGCAGAAAGGCACGGGACUGGGCUGGGUGUUUGCUACGCGGGGCUACCGGAUCGGUCGGAAAUGGCAGAGGUGGAGGAGACACUGAAGCGACUGCAGAGCCAGAAGGGAGUGCAGGGAAUCAUCGUCGUGAACACAGAAGGUACACGC